rnacentral:rRNA from 1 species
CUGACCUCAAAUCGAGAGACCCCA